AUGAACGCUGGCGGCGUGCUUAACACAUGCAAGUCGAGCGAAGCACUUAGGAAAGAUUCUUCGGAUGAUUUCCUAUUUGACUGAGCGGCGGACGGGUGAGUAACGCGUGGGUAACCUGCCUCAUACAGGGGGAUAACAGUUAGAAAUGACUGCUAAUACCGCAUAAGACCACAGCACCGCAUGGUGCAGGGGUAAAAACUCCGGUGGUAUGAGAUGGACCCGCGUCUGAUUAGUUAGUUGGUGGGGUAACGGCCUACCAAGGCGACGAUCAGUAGCCGACCUGAGAGGGUGACCGGCCACAUUGGGACUGAGACACGGCCCAAACUCCUACGGGAGGCAGCAGUGGGGAAUAUUGCACAAUGGGGGAAACCCUGAUGCAGCGACGCCGCGUGAGCGAAGAAGUAUUUCGGUAUGUAAAGCUCUAUCAGCAGGGAAGAAAAUGACGGUACCUGACUAAGAAGCCCCGGCUAACUACGUGCCAGCAGCCGCGGUAAUACGUAGGGGGCAAGCGUUAUCCGGAUUUACUGGGUGUAAAGGGAGCGUAGACGGAGCAGCAAGUCUGAUGUGAAAACCCGGGGCUCAACCCCGGGACUGCAUUGGAAACUGUUGAUCUGGAGUGCCGGAGAGGUAAGCGGAAUUCCUAGUGUAGCGGUGAAAUGCGUAGAUAUUAGGAGGAACACCAGUGGCGAAGGCGGCUUACUGGACGGUAACUGACGUUGAGGCUCGAAAGCGUGGGGAGCAAACAGGAUUAGAUACCCUGGUAGUCCACGCCGUAAACGAUGAGUGCUAAGUGUUGGAGGGUUUCCGCCCUUCAGUGCUGCAGCAAACGCAUUAAGCACUCCGCCUGGGGAGUACGACCGCAAGGUUGAAACUCAAAGGAAUUGACGGGGGCCCGCACAAGCGGUGGAGCAUGUGGUUUAAUUCGAAGCAACGCGAAGAACCUUACCUGCUCUUGACAUCCCGGUGACGGCAGAGUAAUGUCUGCUUUUCUUCGGAACACCGGUGACAGGUGGUGCAUGGUUGUCGUCAGCUCGUGUCGUGAGAUGUUGGGUUAAGUCCCGCAACGAGCGCAACCCCUAUCUUCAGUAGCCAGCGGUAAGGCCGGGCACUCUGGAGAGACUGCCAGGGAUAACCUGGAGGAAGGUGGGGAUGACGUCAAAUCAUCAUGCCCCUUAUGAGCAGGGCUACACACGUGCUACAAUGGCGUAAACAAAGGGAAGCGAACCCGCGAGGGUGGGCAAAUCCCAAAAAUAACGUCUCAGUUCGGAUUGUAGUCUGCAACUCGACUACAUGAAGCUGGAAUCGCUAGUAAUCGCGAAUCAGAAUGUCGCGGUGAAUACGUUCCCGGGUCUUGUACACACCGCCCGUCACACCAUGGGAGUCAGUAACGCCCGAAGUCAGUGACCCAACCGUAAGGAGGGAGCUGCCGAAGGUGGGACCGAUAACUGGGGUG
rnacentral:rRNA from 1 species